rnacentral:misc_RNA from 1 species
UAGAGUUGAAAACUCCCAAACCCAUUGUGAACAUACCUCUGUUGCUUCGGCGAUGCGCCCCGGGCGCGCCCUCACAGGCGUGCCCCGGACCAAGGCGCUCGCCGGGGGACCGAAACUCUUGUUUUCUUACAGAAUCUCUGAGUAUGAUUAUAAAUCAAAUCA